UGGAAUAAAAGACAAGCACAAUUUAGUGAGCACUCAAUCUUUAUGACGCAGCUGCCAUCAGCUUUUUCUUUACCAAACAAGCACUUGGAAAGAUUCAUUUACCAAUUAUUUUAAAAGUCUGACGAGACUCUCUUUAAAUCAGAUGACUAUAACAUCACCGAAAUAAAAUUGCAUUCUUUUCUCAAAUGGCAGUUGUUUAAGUUCAUUUGAAGGGCAUUUAGAGGAAAUCUAGGUUUUGUAGCUGCAGCAUGUUGACUCAGCAGUUGGGAGAACAUUUUCUGCUGUACCUGAAAAUGUUUUUUUAUGACAGGGUAUGGGAGAAAUGGGAGAAAGAAAAUAGCAGACCUCAGUUAAGCAAUGCCGAGAAAUCCUAAUCCACACUAAAUGAUACAUAUCCAAAACCAGCAUUUCAUUUCUGUUCCAAAUGUAAUUUAGCUCAAUGAGAAAUUUUAUUUUGAAAGUCAACCAAAGAGUCAUUUGACGCACCACUGUGGUGUGGAGAAACACAUGACUUGGUACUGUGACCCAAGUUGACCCAGUUCAACCACACCUCCCUGGCAACUCCGUGGGUGUAUUUGCUUUACAGCCUGCGAAGCGUUUCCAAACACAUAAAGUCAGAAGGUGGGCAGCACAUUCAAGACCAUUUAUGAGGUAUGAUGAGCUCCUCCCUUCCCUCAUUGCUACCCAUUUUCUGCCCAUCCCAAUGGUUUCUUUCUCCUCCUCCCUCAAUGUUUUGUCAACACGCUGACCUUUUUAUUUUUCGCACCACACCGUUCUUGCUGUCUGAUACUUUCCCAAAAUUUCUCUUGCCCUCCAUGACCCCAAACCCACUUUAAUAUAUUUAUCACAGUGCAUACAGUCUGUGGCUCUUAGAUAGCUCAUCAAUAAGCCUGCCUGUUAAUGGGAUUAUCGAUUCUGGAAGGGAGUUGAAAAGAUGCCGGAACUACUGGAUCAGGCUUUCAACUGACAAGUGUUAGGACACUUUACUUGACACAAGACUGGCAUCACCGAAUGCCAUGCUUCCAGUCUUGACUUUCAGACAACCAUUCCAGUUGGCGUAUCUGCUUGGGUCUGUGCAACACAAAAGAAAUCCAGGAAAACCUGAUUGUAUGGCGAUAGUAACAUUUGAAAAGGGAAUUUCCAUGCACUUGAAUGGAUUAUGCAAGUUAUGUACCUGCACUGUACAGUGCAUGUAUAUAUAGAACAUCUUCAAAGGAUGUAUAAAUCAUGCAAUAUUCAUGUUCCGGGCAAUUGGUGCAGCAUAGAAACUAGAGCAUACGUGCAUAUCAAGAUUAAUAUUUUCAUGGGGAAUUUAAUUGAAGAUCAUUUAAAUAUUUUAUCAGGAUGCUUUAAGAGGUUGGAUGCCUUUGAAUUCUAUAUGGGAUAUUCUGAAGAACAUCUUUACUAGAUAAAAAUUUUAUGAAUGUCUUCACAUUUGCUUUAUUCUAUGCUGUAUUUUAACGCAGUUUUUCCUUAUCUUUUACUCAGGUACAAACUAUAGUAUGUUCUCAUUUUUAUAAAAUUUUCUCUGGCCUUUUCCCACCCCGUUUCAGAUCACUUUUUAGUUUUGUGAGCUGAUCUUCAAUGUUUUUUCUAAGGAUGAAGGAUUUCACUCAAUACAUUUUUUCAUGAAUUAUUCAUCACAGAAACACUCAAACACAUAUGCAAUAGGUGGGGACCACAAACUGGUUCUCACAUUGCCUUCAGGUUUACAGUUACUCUCCAGGUGAUGAAGACAGCUUGGUUUACUAGCGACCUGAUAAUGUUUUACCUUUUUUUUAAAUUAGUUUCCAGUUAGUUAGUUAGUUAGUGAGUGAGUUAGUUAGUUUGUUAGUUAGUAGUUAUGUAACAAUUUAUAAAACUCCAAUAGAUAAUUCCGGAAAACAAGAAAUUAUUCAUAAAAAAAGAUUAUUUUUUUCAUUCCCACUUCAUUUUCACCAUUUGAUGAUGAUGCUGUUACAAUUUCCCUGGAAACGAUAACCAUGCAGUUGUGAACAAUAUGAACAAAAGACAUACAAGAAUCAACAGAGUGAAAAGGAACAAAGGAUGCAAGGUGAAGAAGAGGGGGGACGAAUGAAAGGAUGAGGAGGGAGUAGUUUGUAGUUCUUUGUUAGCGUAGCUCGGCUCGCUUUCAACCACUACUAGUAGAGAAGCUUUUGUGUGUGUGAGUGUGUGCGUUUGUGCCUCCAGACACUUCUUAAUAAGGCACAGUUGUAGUGUAGUAAGUGACCUUGUACAAAUGAACAAUCAUUCCGACAAGACCGACUUGCAUAUUGAUCGAAAUUCUCUUUGUGUCUUCCAUAUGUUGUCUCUUAAAUACAGAGUAAUAAUUGGAAUGUUAUUUGCUUUCUCGUGUGAGUGAACGCUAUCGUUCGCCUUUAAGGUCAACUGAACUACGUUUGCAACAAAGGAUUGUUAAUGAGGAGUCAGUAUAAAGUAUGGCCCACCUUUCUCCUUUCUACCCCAGGGUCCUAUUGCACCUUAUUGUUCACUGCAGGAAAGAUAGUCCCCUAAACCAACACAUUUUAGUUUGUCAGCAUGUUUCUGCAAAGAGUUACAUUUGGGCUCACUGGCGUAAUGACUUUGGAUUUAAUAAAAUGUUGGCCUAGCACUAAAUAAUA